rnacentral:lncRNA from 1 species
UUUCAUGGACCAGUGUAUCAGCAGGAGAAACCAACUGCAACCUCACAAGCUUACCGUCUUGGGAGGAGGACUGCGCAUGGUUGCUGGAUUGUCAGGAUUUUGGUGCUAACGACUUUGGGUUCGAUUACCUAAACGACAUUGAAUUGAACACGUUAGAGAUGGGCGAUAAAUCGGUAGCCUGAUGCACCGUAGUUGAAGGUUUGAGUAAAAAAUUAUCAAAACUAAUUACUCAAAGCUUCAAGUUAGGUGCAUGUGUUAACAAAAAUAUUAGUUGAUUUUGGGUCUCGUUCCUGUUUUUUCAUAAUACUAAUGCUGGAAGGUCCAAGGUGAUACCAUUACCUAUUCCAAAGUGAUACCAUUACCAACCCUCAUAAAUUUCUUGAUGCCUUGCAAAUAUGGUAAUCUUUCUUCUGUAAAAUGACAGGGAAACGAUUAUU